UACGUAGGGUGCGAGCGUUGUCCGGAAUUAUUGGGCGUAAAGGGCGGGUAGGUGGCAAUGUAAGGUUGGUGUGAAAGCCUUCGGCUUAACCGAGGGAGGACACUGACGACUGCAUAGCUCGAGGCAGAUAGAGGGGUGUAGAAUUCCGGGUGGAGUGGUGAAAUGCGUAGAGAUCCGGAGGAAUACCAGAGGCGAAGGCGGCACCCUGGGUCUGACCUGACACUGAUCCGCGACAGCAUGGGGAGCGAACGGG
rnacentral:rRNA from 1 species